AGAGUUUGAUCCUGGCUCAGAAUCAACGCUGGCGGCGCGCUUAACACAUGCAAGUCGCACGAGAAAGUGGAGCAAUCCAUGAGUACAGUGGCGUACGGGUGAGUAACACGUGGAUUAUCUACCUUCUAGUGGGGAAUACCUCCGGGAAACUGGAGACAAUACCGCAUAAGCUCGUAAGAGGAAAGCAGCAAUGCGCUGGAAGAGGAGUCCGCGGCUGAUUAGCUAGUUGGCGGGGUAACGGCCCACCAAGGCGAAGAUCGGUAGCCGGCCUGAGAGGGCACACGGCCACACUGGCACUGAAACACGGGCCAGACUCCUACGGGAGGCAGCAGUGGGGAAUCUUGCACAAUGGAGGAAACUCUGAUGCAGCGACGCCGCGUGAGCGAUGAAGCCCUUCGGGGUGUAAAGCUCUUUCGACGGGAACGAUAAUGACGUACCCGAAGAAGA
rnacentral:rRNA from 1 species